UAUCAAGAAGAUAAAUUAACUAUUUUAUCGCCUGUAC
rnacentral:sRNA from 1 species